rnacentral:sRNA from 1 species
UAAUGUUAUAUUUUUGUUGUGUGCUUA